rnacentral:misc_RNA from 1 species
UUUGACUCGUUUCAUCUUAUUGGGAUAUUCCGAAGAACAUCACUGAUGAGUUUCCAUCAUGGGGUUGUUUCUCACACUUGAUAAACAAGCGGAUUUAAAUGACCCAGUGCUGACGAAUCAGUCCUGGGAGUGGGAACAUCCGAAGAUAUCCCCAAACAAUUCAUUUUCACGUGACUGAAGACGAAGCAGCCGAAGCCACUUCGAAUUCGAAAUUAAGGUGUGGUAAUGAUCCUUCCGCAGGUUCACCUACGGAAA